CUUUGAAAUCAUCUGAAAUAAUGAGCUGAGUCUUUAUUUUUUCUUGGGACCCUCUUUUUGCAUUCACUUGCCAUUAGUAAGUAAGGUGCUUCUGUUUUCCUAGGACAAAAACAGAAGAACUGUCCCAGAGGCUCCUCUCAAAUAACCCCAGAGAAUGUCCAUCUCCUCUCCCUCCUCCCCUGCUGAACAGCCAGUAUGAACAGAGACAGCACUCUAUAGGUGUAUUAAAAAUGAGACAAUGUACCAGCUGUCAGAUGGAGAAAGGCAAGAAAUUUUGGCAUCACCAUUCAUGGCACCUUGACUGCAAAGGCCCCCAAAAUAGCACACUAGAAUCAAAACAAAUCUGAGAGAGCAGCAGGUGGCUCCCACUGCAUACAGUGCUAGAUGUGUAAAUGAAGUGGAUGGUUUUAUGAGCCCAAACAACAAUAAGAUUAUCUAGAAUGAAGAUUUUAUUUUGAGGUCCUAAUAACAUGAAUAACUAAUGAAGAAAAUGACAUUUUUAUUACUUUUGAAUAUCUUCCAAAAGGAGAAAAACAAAAGAAAAUAGAGCCAGCCCUAUUUGCAAAUCAGCC
rnacentral:lncRNA from 1 species